GGGCGCUGUUUGCUGCUUUAAGCAAUAAGAGAUCACUUGUACGGACUGUGUAGAAAACAGCAGCAGCUUGUACUGAGAGGAUGUGAAUAGUACUGCACCUACAUUUAGUGAUUGAAAAUAUUCCAAUAAACCAAUCUGCUAGAGCUGUGAUGGCUUGCCGUGACACCCACGACAUUAAUGAUCUACAUUUUAGAAAACAUAUUGGGUAAUGCAGUUCUGGGGUGCCACCAUUGUCCAUCAUUGUCGGAUAGCCAGGAAUACCACAUUUCAAUAACGUGAGCUGAUGAGAUAGCUCAGUGCAUAGGACUCCAGCUCCGUGGUCACAUGUCUGAGUCUCGAGUUUAUUAUCUUUCUGAGGUCAAUUAAAAUGGUUAUCAUUAUGUGCAUGCACAGAAACUGGUGAAAUACUUUAAAAGUAUUAUUACUGACUUGACCUUCAGAAAGAGUGUUGAUAAGAUCACCUUCAGUUG